GACGCUGGGAAAUGUGGUGUUAGGGAGGAUCCGUUAUCCCGAGGCAUUGCGAUGCGUCCAAGUCCUUCUUGAACGGGGCCACAGCCCAUAGAGGGUGCCAGGCCCGUAGUGACCGUUGCAUGUCGCGGGAGGAUCUCUCCUCAGAGUCGGGUUGCUUGAGAGUGCAGCCCUAAGUGGGUGGUAAACUCCAUCUAAGGCUAAAUAUGACCACGAGACCGAUAGCGAACAAGUACCGUGAGGGAAAGUUGAAAAGCACUUUGAAGAGAGAGUUCAAGAGUACGUGAAACCGUUCAGGGGUAAACCUGAGAAACCCGAAAGGUCGAAAGGGGAAAUUCAUUCGCGUUUCGAUUGUUAACGUAGAGUGGUUGUGUGACGGACGGCUUCGGUUUGUACGCACCUGCCGUUUUGCGAUUGGCGUCGAACGCGUGCACUUUUCCCCUAGUAGGACGUCGCGAUCCGUUGGGCGUCGGUCUAAGGCCCGCGGUGGAGCCCUGCUGUUAGUUUACUAACGGUAGGACCCGUGGUGUUUCCCGACCGGCUCGCUCGACGGUAUACAGAUGGCGCGGAGCCGCGACUCAGUUCGCGUUCGACCCGGGGCAAGCGCGUUCGUAGUUUCGGCGAUCGGACCUAGUGCCGGUCCUGGACUCGGAUGACUGUUGGCCUCGGAGUUCUCGAACAGACUCUGUGAAACGCCGAUCUGCGGCGCUAUAGCUUUGGGUACUUUCAGGACCCGUCUUG
rnacentral:rRNA from 1 species